rnacentral:rRNA from 1 species
CCUACGGGGUGCAGCAGUGAGGAAUAUUGGUCAAUGGACGAGAGUCUGAACCAGCCAAGUAGCGUGAAGGAUGACUGCCCUAUGGGUUGUAAACUUCUUUUAUAUGGGAAUAAAAUGUUCCACGUGUGGGAUUUUGUAUGUAACAUAUGAAUAAGGAUCGGCUAACUCCGUGCCAGCAGCCGCGGUACUACGGAGGAUCCGAGCGUUAUCCGGCUUUAUUGGGUUUAAAGGGAGCGUAGGUGGAUUGUUAAGUCAGUUGGUAAAGUUGGUGGAUCAACCGUAAAAUGGCAGUUGAAACUGGCAGUCUUGAGUACAGUAGAGGUGGGCGGAAUUCGUGGUGUAGCGGUGAAAUGCUUAGAUAUCACGAAGAACUCCGAUUGCGAAGGCAGUUCACUGGACUGCAACUGACACUGAGGCUCGAAAGUGUGGGUAUCAAACAGGAUUAGAUACCCUUGUAGUC